rnacentral:lncRNA from 1 species
CACAAAUGUACUUGCAGCUCUAUUUACCACACAGAGCUCUUACAGAGAGUCUGUCUGCAAAGGGACAGAAAACUUCCUACUCUGACAGGCAUAUCAGUAGGGAUUUUAUUUGUGUCUUCCUGUAAAUGCAGGCGAGCUCAGCUAUUGAUGACUUUAAUUCUACAGGCACCAGUGGUUUGUAUUUAGCCUGAGAAAUAACAUUAGGCAAGUUUAUCUGAUGAGCCAGGGGAAGUUUCCCCUGCGUGGGAUGGACAGCAGGUACAGUGUGACUAGCUUGCUCCUUCUGGAACCUCUUUCCCUUCUCACCUCCGUUCCCCACCUGGCUCCCACAAGCCUCCUGUCUUUUCACAAAAGCAGAGAAUUCAACAGAUGUACACCACUUCCUUCAUUAUUUAGGCUGAUGCUGCGCUAUCGAUUUAGUCAGCGCUAUCGAGGUUGUGAAAAUCUGUAUUAACACAAGGGUUAAAUGGAAAAAUAUUUAUUUAAUGCUUUUGUUUACUGUUCCCCCUGCUUCUGACCCUGGGAAACACCAAGGGACAGGAGCGGCCCCAGUCGGGCUCUGUCUGGCCCCUUCCCGGGUUAAUCACGUUUCACACGUCCCCCGUUCUGGCAGGUGCAGCACCAGAUCUCCCGUUUGUCCCUCUCUGGAUGAAAGUGUGAGGCUCCGUCAAGUCCUCCAGGCACCAGAACAGUUUGCUUUCCUGCUGGAGGUGAAACUGACUCUGGGAGAAGGCACAGCUGGGGCUUUUAUCUCCCCUUCAGAGACUGUUUGGAUAAGUCAGUCAAGCAAUAAUGAAAAACAGAUUGGAGGUUCCUUCCCCUCUCUCCCAGACCACAAGAUGCGACGUAAGUGUUCCAUAUGA